rnacentral:rRNA from 1 species
UUUUAUGGAGAGUUUGAUCCUGGCUCAGGAUGAACGCUGGCGGCGUGCCUAAUACAUGCAAGUCGAGCGAACGGACGAGAAGCUUGCUUUUCUGAUGUUAGCGGCGGACGGGGGAGUAACACGUGGAUAACCUACCUAUAAGACUGGGAUAACUUCGGGAAACCGGAGCUAAUACCGG